AAGUCGUAACAAGGUUUCCGUAGGUGAACCUGCGGAAGGAUCAUUACCUUUCAAUGCAGCAGAAUUGGGAUGGUUGAGUAUCUCGCCUCUCCGUUCUGCCUGUAUUCUACCCUUGUUUGUCAUAUACUAUUAUUUCCUCGGCAGGCUUGCCUGCCGAGUGAAACCAUUUAUAACCUUUUUAAUUUUCAAUCAGCGUCUGAAAAAAACUAAUAAUUACAACUUUCAACAACGGAUCUCUUGGUUCUG
rnacentral:misc_RNA from 1 species